GGAGCAUUCUGUUUGCGCCGAAGCAGUAUCGUGAGGUAUUGUGGAGCGGACAGAAAAGAAAAUGUAGGCAUAAGUAACGAUAAAGGGGGCGAGAAACCCCCUCACCGAAAGACCAAGGUUUCCUCAGCUAUGCUAAUCAGCUGAGGGUUAGUCGGGACCUAACGCGAACCCGAAAGGGGUAGUGGAUGGACAAUGGGUUAAUAUUCCCAUACUUGCUCACACUAAAAAGGGGACGGAGUGACGUAGCUACUGGAGACUGACGGAAUAGUCAAGACCUAGCCUUCGGGCGAAGUUGUUGUAGUGAACUCGCUUCCAAGAAAAGCCGAAGUGAAGCAACCCGUACCAAAACCGACACAGGUAGUCAAGGAGAGAAUCCUAAGGUGCUCGAGUGAUUCAUGGCUAAGGAACUAGGCAAAAU
rnacentral:rRNA from 1 species